rnacentral:rRNA from 1 species
UACGGAGGGGACUAGCGUUGUUCGGAAUUACUGGGCGUAAAGCGCACGUAGGCGGAUUUGUAAGUCAGGGGUGAAAUCCCGGGGCUCAACCUCGGAACUGCCUUUGAUACUGCAAAUCUCGAGUCCGGAAGAGGUGAGUGGAAUUCCUAGUGUAGAGGUGAAAAUUCGUAGAUAUUAGGAAGAACACCAGUGGCGAAGGCGGCUCACUGGUCCGGUACUGACGCUGAGGCGCGAAAGCGUGGGGAGCAAACGGG